rnacentral:lncRNA from 1 species
CUUAUGGAUCACAGGCUCAAAAGAUUUCUGGGUUGACAUUUCUGAUUUGUCAAUGGGAGUAUAAACCAGGUAUGGGUGCUCGGGGAUUUGCUGGUGCUCACUGGCAUUCCAUAAGGCGGCCUGUUGGUUGUCAGGGUGGACGUUAGGAGCUGCUGCUGGUCCCAUGAUGUGGGUGCCCCAUUUUUUGGGAUUCUCAUCCGAUGCUGGUGGGUGAUCAUUAGGGUGGGAUUCCUCCGUGACAGUGGCAGAUGAGGUUGGUUCGUGGAAUUCUGCCUCUUGAUCAGCCUUAGGUGGUGGUGGAGGUACUUGUUGGGUUUCUGCCUCUUGAGGAGUGCCUGUCAUCUUUACUAAAUGGAAUUGAAUGGAAGGUAAAGGGGGGAAAACACAAAAAGCGGCAGUUCAAGAUUGGUUAUCUGAUUCAGUGAGAACUCUUUGGAAGAUUUGAUGGUUAAAUUAGUGCUAAUAAGCUGUUGAUUUAUAGAAGUUCAAUUCAUGGGUUAUCCAUAUUGUACAAUUUGCAGACACGGUUUCGUUUUCGUUGCAAUGAAGAAAGAUGAGAAAUCAACCUUCUAGAUUAGCAAGAAUGUGUACAGCCUCUUUAGUCAGCCGUAUAAAUUAUACUCUUUCUAGAUAUUUUGAAAACGGGUGCCAUCGUCAAAGCACCGCUUGAUAUUAUCACGGAUAGAAUCAUAGAAAAGAAGGUUUGUCUGCUUUGCAUCAACAAAUUAAUAAAAUAUCUAAAAAAAUAUUAAUUUUUCGCUUGUUGACCGAUUGAUCAUCACGGUUAGAAAGGAAGGUUUGGCUGCUUUGCUUUGAAAUACCCAAACAUGUCAUCAGGCGAAAGCAACAUCUCUCUCUCUUUUUUUAAUGAACAGGAACCUAAGGUAUUGAUUAACAUUGAAAUAUUUAUAGUUUUUUAAAGUAUUUUUUAUUUAAAAAUAUAUUAAAAUACCUCAAUAAUAUCUUUUUCAUGAAAAGAAAUUUAAUGGCAUAUUUUUUGUGAUAAAAAUGUAGUUAACCAACAAUUUUAUCUUUUUUAUUUUAUUUUUUUAUGACUACUUUUUUUAUUUCAAAGUUUAUGAAUUGAAAGGUAAAAUAAAUUAAUUUUAGUAAAUAAAUGUAAAACCCAUAAAAAAAAACCAAAAAGUAAAACUUGAAAUUAUUGGGAUCAAACUAUAAUUCCCCAUGCCAAACUGAAAAGGGGUUGCAUCUGUUUGGUUGUGUCAAUGUUGGUUCCUGUUGUUUUAAUUUUCUAAGAUUGAUAAAAUCUUAGAAAAUAUAUUACGAAGGGAACCUCAAAAAAGCCUUCAGCUUAUAGGGCUAAUCUUGGUUAGGUCUAAAUAUGUUUUUCAUCUAGAUUAAAUCCUCUAUUUAUUAAUGAAUUCUCAAUCAAAUCAUUAUGUUAAUUUAGGUUAAUGUAAUGGUUAAGUAUGGGAUAAUGAGAAUAAAUUAUACUUAUAAAUACAAGAGUUUUGUAUUAUAUAUAUAUAUAUAUAUAUAUAUAAAGUUUGGUCUCCAUGUGAGAUUCACGUUAUUCAAAAGUAAAAAUCUUAGAAAAUUUGCUUGUUUUUGUAAAAAAUAUAAAAUAAAAAUCACAUCAUCAUCAAGUAUUACUUAAUAGUAUCAUUAAUUCAUUCUUAAUUGCGGAUUUAAUCAUUGCGGAUCUAAUCUAAACUAGCUUCGAAGUUUGGGGAUUCUUACAAGGUUUGCCUAGCAAAAGGAAAUUGAAGGAAUAAUUAGGUGUGAGUAGUAAUCAUAGUUUAAUCUAAAGCCGAUAAAUAUUUACCCAACACGAAUGGAUGAAUAUUUUUUUAUGAUUGCCUUACUGGAUAGAUAAUGAGUAUAGUAUAAAUAUUGUAAAAUCUGAUUCAAAACUUGCUUUAACCUAACUACGAAAUAUAUAUGUAUAUUAUAUUAAUAUAUUUGUAGAAUAUUUAGAUUUUUUUAAUAUAUAUAUAUAUAUAUAUAUAUAUAUAUAUAAUCAUUUGCUAUUCAUUAUCUAUUAGAAAAAAUAUAGAUAUUUAUAUCUAACUCAUCUUAUCCAUAUCCAAAAUAAAUAAUUAUACACUAUAGAUUAUCUAUUAAAAAGAAACAUCGAUAUCCAUGUCUAACUCGUUGAAUCUCGAAUAUUCAUUAGUAGUUUUUAUUUAUUUAAGUAGUUAUCAUAUUACGUGUUCCGCACAUGAUUAACAUUGGUUGUCAGGGUGGACAUUAGGUGCUGGCGGUGGUACCAUGACGUGGCUGCCCCAUUUCUUGGUUUCCUCAUCCGAUAGUGGUGGUGGUUGAAGCGGCGACCCCUCUGUGACAGUGGACGAUGAGGGUGGCUGAUGAGAUUCGGCUCCUGUAGCUUUAGGAGCUGAUAAUGCUGGGACUGGUACUUCAUGUUGCUGUGCCUGUUGAGGUGAGCUUGUCAUUUUGACCGACUAGAACUGAAUGGAAGGUAGAUGUGGCAAGAGCAAAAACUAUCGGUGCGAUAUUGAAGAAAGCAGAUUUUUUUUUUUUUUGAUGGAUUGAAGAAAGUAGAUGAAUCAACCUUCUAGAUUGAAAGCGUCCUUAGCCUGUUAGCCAGAUGACUAUUCCGAGGAGGACUAUCUAGGUGAACAGGUGGCAAUGCCAAAAAACUUUUUGGCCGAAUGAAAUUAUCAGGAGAAGAAUCGAAAAGGUUUCUAGCUAGACACCAUUAAUAAAUUUAACAGCCUGGCUGUUUUUGUUUAUGAUGUAAUAUCUAGAGUGAAUAAAAAUUAGGAUUUUAAAAUUCUAAGGUUAUAGCUGAGAUUUUUGAGAAAUAUAGAUAAAACUCUAAUAAGUUUGGGAUUUAAUAAUUUUCAAUAAAAAAAAUAAAUUAAACAUCCCUAAUUUAAGUCUUAAUUUAGGAAAAGGAUUCCUUAUUGAUAGUUACAUAAUUCAACUAGCAUUGGAAUUCAUAUAUUAAGUAAAAUCAUGUAAAUCUCAACAAUUAAAUAAAUAUUAUAAUAAAAAUAAUUAUGUCAUAUAAUAAAAAAUAAAAUAGUGUCUCUUGUCAUUCCCUACUACUUGCAAAAAAUACUCACCCUCUAGUUAAAUAUUAGAAAUUAAACUCAUUCUUAAAAGAUUGAAACUAUAUAAUGAGUCUACUUAUAAAUUUCAAAAUUAGAUACUUUUAUAUCGAAUUCUUUUUUUUUAUACUCUCUCAAAUUCAUCAGCUUAUAAAUUAACUUUGAGCGUAAUCUUUGAUAAUAAUUUUAUAAUUUAUCAGAGUUUCUACUUCUUACAUGUACUUUUCAAUGUUCUAAAUUACAAUUUCAAUUCCAUAAUCCUUUUUUAAUAAAGAGUAAUAUAGUUAAUGGUGUUUGAUUAUGCUAUUCUAUUUUUUUAACUUAAAUAAUCCUUUUUUUAGGUAGUGUUUUGUUCCUGUCUCGGGAUAAAAAAGACAAAGAUAAUAAAAACAAAAAAGACAAGAUAAAAAGAAAAUAAAGAUAAAAUUUUGUUUGAUAGUUAUGAUUCCUAAACUAAACAAAUCCUUGUAAAUUUUAAUAAUUAAAUAAAUGUUAUAAUAAAAAUAAUGAUGUCAUAAAUUAAAAAACAAUAUCCCACGAUUAGUUUAAAUAUCGGGAUAUGCUAUCAGCAACCUUAAUUUAAUGGACACUGUAAAAGGGACCUCAUAAACUGAUCCUAUUCUAAUUUAACUAUGCAUUGCGUAACUCAAUUAUCUCUGUCUUCGAAAGUUACCAUUUCACCUCCGGUAGGAGUUCUGGUAGCAACCCUAGCUUCUAAGCAAUAGGUAUUAACCUGUCUAUUUCACAAUUCGGUUGAUUUGUGUAUUGCUAAAACUCAAGCUGACAAGUAUUAAUACUAAUUACGGAGUUGAGGAAGCAAUCAUAUCCUUUGCCGACAAAGUGCCCGAUCGGUUGGCAAUUGUCUAUUUUCUCCACAAUUGAUUUGUCAUAUCCUUUGCCGAUACAGUGCCCGAUCGGUUGAUUUGUUAAGUAGCCACCGACAUGGAGCUUUUUAACUUUUUGUGAUUCACUUUCAAUGAUUUGUGGUGGCAGCCUGCAACUCCGCUAUAAAUUCACUUUCCGCGGUGGGGAUGGAUUCUCUGCUCUUAGCAUUUGCUGAAAAAACUUCAUUUUAGACAGUCCUAUCAUUUUCUAUACUGUGCUCUAGCAAUCAAAAUUACGACGGUUUUGGCUAAGUAAAAGUGUUCCUUUCAACGACACUGCCCACUGCAGAGGGAUUAUCUCAACUUGCACAUUGGAUAAACCUCCUUAGAUUUUCUUUGAUCACGUCAUUUUAUUUUCGUUGCCCAUUUGAAAUUAUUUGGCUGAAAUGGAAAGACAAUACUACGAAUUAAUGUUAAGAUCAAAUCACGGCGUUUUUUGGAAUUCCAAUUCUUGCAAUUAUUAACGUUCACAAAAAAACUGAAAUGAUCGAACCCAUUAUAGAAUUGAAGCCCAUAUAUGACAAGCCAUCCGGGUCUCUCUUUUUUUUUUUUUUUAAUGUUGACAGCAUUUCAUUCAUAUCAUUCAUAGAAACUCGAAUUUUGAGGAGUCUUUUAAGUAUUUAGCCCGCUACACUGUUAACAAUGCUGUUGAGGCUUUUCCAAAUUAAGAAUGCGGUGGGAGGGUGGAGAAAGUAUAUCAGAAAAUAUAUCCAAAUGCAACUCCGUUUUCAAAAAUCUACAUAAAUAUAUAAACAACAAUCAAAGAAAAGAAUACAUGAUAGAAGAGGAUAAAUGAAUGACAACAGGAAAACUAAAGGAAAGCUCCCUUCAGGCAACAAACAAUAAAUGCACUAGAAACAGUGAAAAUCAAAAUCUUGAAGGGCAUGAAGGAUUCAACUAUCAUUGGCUAAACAACAACUGGUUGAAUUGCAAUUCCUGCUUCCUUGAAACUUGACACGCUCUCUGAUAGAUUUUGCAAGGCUUUCUCAAAAUUAACGAAACCCAUAAACCAGAAGUCGUGCCCAUCGAUGCUGACAAUUUGAAUGUACUUCCUUGAUGGAUUUUCCAGCAUGGUCUCCGAGCUGACUCUGCUUAUUUUUUCCAAGGGUAUCAUAACCUGCUCAAAAUAAGUUAUUAUUGAAUUCAUCAGUACCAUGAUAUACACGGAUGGCUAUAGCAAGAUAGAAAAUUUAGUUUGAGCUUUGAUUGCCAAAGAUAUUUAGUUUUGUUUUGUUGUAUCUCCGUGAACUACCCUUUUAUACAUGCACGAUUUCUCUCAACUUCACCUUUUGUUUGGAAUUUAACAGAGCUUAACUAUAUAUAAUAAUAGGCUAAUAGCUAUGAAUGUAGUAAAAUCUAUCCGACUUGGUGUCUAGCGAUGUAUUUACCUUGUAGUAGCUCCAGGCCUCCUCCCCUGAAGGAACAGUAUGGCACAGAGGACGGUCGCUGCAGAACGCGACUCGAGCAGUUGACAGAUAGAGCGUCCCGGCAACAGGGCCAGUAGAUGUUGAGAGGUAACAAGCAAAACUCUUCUUCAGCUUCUCAUUAGGAUCGGUGGUUUCAAAUAUAUGCUUGAAGAGAGACUCAAAGCCACCCUCUGUCAUUGCUUUCACCGUCAGGUUUACCUUACCCCAGGCAGCUUGUGGCACAGAUGGCCCUGUGCUAACUGCAUUAAAGUGUAUGUGCAGGUGCGUGUUAAAACAGAUCAGAAAUAAGAUUGGAAGAUACACUUGAACUAAAUUUGUUGUCCGCUUUGAUGCCAGAAAAUCGCUACUCUAUCAUGGUCACAGUUACAGUGACGAUCAAUUAGCUAAUUUAAUAUUUCAUGGUUUGUGAACAUCAACUUACGAUUGUGCCAGAUGUUACGGGCUACGGUCUCUGCCAUCUUGCCCCAUUCUUGAAACUUAUGGAUCACAGGUUCAAAAGAUUUCUGGGUUGACAUUUCUGAUUUGUCAAUGGGAGUAUAAACCAGGUAUGGGUGCUCGGGGAUUUGCUGGUGCUCACUGGCAUUCCAUAAGGCAGCCUGUUGGUUGUCAGGGUGGAAAUUAGGUGCUGCUGGAGGCCCCAUGAUGUGGGUGCCCCAUUUCUUGGAUUUCUCAUCCGAUGCUGGUGGUUGAUCCUUAGGGUGGGAUUCCUCCGUGACAGUGGCAGAUGAG